UAACUCCAAAGACAUGUUGCUGCACCUCUUUUUGCUUCUAUCUCACAUUAUAGGACUAACAGCUGGAGACUCAAUCACUCCUCAACAAGCUGAAGUCACUGAAACAGAAGGAGAAUCUGUCAAACUCACAUGUAGCUAUGAGACAACUGAUAGCGAUGUUUGGCUUUUCUGGUACAAACAUCAUUCUGACCUUGAGGCUCCUCAGUUUAUACUCUACAAAGGAGCAAAAUCCCAGCUAGGCCGUGAAUAUAUUCCUGAUAAACGUUAUAAAUCAGAAACAUCUUCUACAUCAACUACUCUGACCAUAACAGCCCUAACCCUGGCAGACACAGCUCUCUACUACUGUGCUCUACAAACACAGUGAUACAAAGUGUAGAAGAGGCUGUACAAAAACCUGAACACAGAUAUCUGACUACUCUUCAAAGAGGAGGGAAGUGGUAUUCAAA